AGCAGCCGCCACGGUAAUACAGAGGUCUCAAGCGUUGUUCGGAUUCAUUGGGCGUAAAGGGUGCGUAGGUGGCGGUGUAAGUCUAACGUGAAAUCUCGGGGCUCAACCUCGAAAUUGCGUCGGAUACUGCAUUGCUAGAGGAUUGUAGAGGAGAGUGGAAUUCAUGGUGUAGCAGUGAAAUGCGUAGAUAUCAUGAGGAAGACCAGUUGCGAAGGCGACUCUCUGGGCAAUUCCUGACACUGAGGCACGAAGGCUAGGGGAGCAAACGGGAUUAGAUACCCCUGUAGUCCCUGUCUCUUAUAC
rnacentral:rRNA from 1 species